CCCUUAGAUGUCCUGGGCCGCACGCGCGUUACACUGAUGCAUUCAACGAGCUUAUAACCUUGGCCGAGAGGCCUGGGCAAUCUUGUUAACGUGCAUCGUGAUAGGGAUAGAUUAUUGAAAUUAUUAAUCUUGAACGAGGAAUUCCUAGUAAACGCAGAUCAUCAAUCUGCAUUGAUUACGUCCCUGCCCUUUGUACACACCGCCCGUCGCACCUACCGAUUGAAUGUGCCAGUGAAAAGUUAGGAUUGGGCGUGGGAGACGGCAACGUAUUCCACAUCCGAGAAAAUCUUUAAACUUUCCCAUUUAGAGGAAGGAGAAGUCGUAACA
rnacentral:rRNA from 1 species